rnacentral:rRNA from 1 species
UGUUCGGGUUGUCAUGCCAAUGGCACUGCCCGGUAGCUAAAUGCGGAAGAGAUAAGUGCUGAAAGCAUCUAAGCACGAAACUUGCCCCGAGAUGAGUUCUCCCUGACUCCUUGAGAGUCCUGAAGGAACGUUGAAGACGACGACGUUGAUAGGCCGGGUGUGUAAGCGCAGCGAUGCGUUGAGCUAACCGGUACUAAUGAACCGUGAGGCUUAACCUUACAACGCCGAAGCUGUU